rnacentral:tRNA from 1 species
CAUAGCUCAGAUGGUUAGAGCGUGCGACUGUUAAUCGCGAGGUCGUCGGUUCAAGCCCGACU